CGCGAUCGGUUCGGUUUGUCAACGGACCAGGCAUUGGCAAUCGGAUGCCGCUAUUGAGUAGUCAACGGUCAGCUCUGGUCGACAUCGUUCUAAUACGAGAUACGGAAUGGGCAGAAUGAGAUAGAUGCACACUACAAGCGAACUAUAGAGUUUGUGUGUAAUGCUCGUGGUCAGAGAAACUCGUCAUAAUAAAAGCGAAAAGCCUUUGAGAGAAAAAUAGGACGUUGGAAGCUCGCGCUAAGGUUAGCGAAAAGGGAGACCUGUCAUACGCGACUACUUGUAUAGUCAACCUAUAACUUACCUCAAAAACUUCAGCGUCCUUUGUUACAAGUUGUUUGCCAUGACCAAAGCCUGCCUUCCGGCCGCACAUGUACUCGCUUUAUGAAGAAAAAGCGCAAUGAACAGGACUUGAAGGAUUCUAAGGAUAGCCACUUUACGCGCCUCAGGAAAUAUUGCUUUUACAGUGAGAUCGGAGAUAGCGAAAA